UCUCCGUUGGUGAACCAGCGGAGGGAUCAUUACAGAGUUGCAAAACUCCCAAACCAUUUUGAACGUUACCUUUCCCGUUGCUUCGCCGGGCGGCCCGGGCCCCGCGCCCGUCGCCCCCCGGCCCCCCGUGUGCGCCCUCCGGAGGUAAACCAAACCCUCCAAUUGCAUGGACUCUCUGAGUCUUCUGUACUGGAUAAGUCAAAACUUUCAACAACGGAUCUCUUGGUUCUG
rnacentral:misc_RNA from 1 species